CUCCGUCUCCGGGAUGCUCCUCCUCCGCUUGGUGGCCAUGGGAUGUGCAGGCAAGGAUUGGAUACUUGAGGAAGGAGGGGUCGACCUUGCCUUGCUGCAGCUCGGGACGCACCACCCAUGGAGCUUCCUCCUUUCCGUCUUCAGCAAGGUUAACCACGAUCACACGAAGCCGAAGGUGCACGAUGAAAAAACCGUACGUGCAUGCUCUAUCCAUCC